GAUGAAGAACGCAGCAAAUGCGAUAAGUAAUGUGAAUUGCAGAAUUCAGUGAAUCAUCGAAUCUUUGAACGCACCUUGCACCCUUUGGCAUUCCGAAGGGUAUGCUCGUUUGAGUGUCAUUGUACUCUCACACUCUCCGAUCCUAUGGAUUCGGGGAGCGGUGGACUUGGGUGUUGCUGCCUUUCCUUGUGGCUCACCUCAAAUGUGUCAGUGCACCUCUUGGUUGGACAUAGUACGGCGUGAUAAGUGUCUUCGCCGGCACCUCGCAAGAGGGUGGCCGAUCGGGAGCUCUGUGCUUUCAAACCGUCUUCGGACAAUUUCUGACAACUUGACCUCAAAUCGAGUAGGACUACCCGCUGAACUUAAGCAUAUCAAUAAGCGGAGGA
rnacentral:misc_RNA from 1 species